CCUGGGGGUGCCCGGGGUUCCUGGGCUCUGUCUCACCCAUCUCCCUCCGCAGAGGCCUUGGUGAACAGCCAGGAAUGGACCCUGGGCCGCUCUAUCCCCGAGAUCCGCCUGGGUGUCCUGGGCAGCAGCAAGAGUGGGAAGUCGGCGCUCGUCCAUCGGUUCCUCACCGGCUCCUACGUGGGCUUGGAGCCCACUGAGAGUGGCCAGUUUAAGCGUGAGGUGACAGUUGAUGGCCAAAGCCACCUCCUGCUCAUCCGGGAGGAGGNCAGGGGC